GUUUUAUCUGGGUAACCUACUUCUUGAUGGGGAGGCGAGGAGAGAGCUCGGUUUGAUAGGAUGUCGUCGUAACUUGGCUAGAACGGCGCUUGAAAAGUGUAAAGCAACUGUUCUUGUGGAUGAGUGUGGCCUCUGAGGAAAGAGACAAAUGGGCUGUCGAGAGGAAGAGUUUGUCAUUUUAGUCUCCUCCAUACACAGGGUCUAUCUUUCAAGACUGCAUCAGCCCUCCUGUGUGUACUGGGAAGAAACCUGCUUUGGGGAGAGGAGGAGAGCUUGAGCUUCUUAGGGCUUGAUGUUAAAUCUUCCACAAGCCCGGCCCGUCUCUCUUAAUAUCAUCAGAGAGUACAUUCACAAAGACUUGAGGCUCAAAUAAAGAGCAAUAUGGUAUU
rnacentral:lncRNA from 1 species